UACGGGGGGGGUAAGCGUUGUUCGGAAUUACUGGGCGUAAAGGGCUCGUAGGCGGCCAACUAAGUCAGACGUGAAAUCCCUCAGCUUAACUGGGGAACUGCGUCUGAUACUGGAUGGCUUGGAUUCGGGAGAGGAAUGCGGAAUUCCAGGUGUAGCGGUGAAAUGCGUAGAUAUCUGGAGGAACACCGGUGGCGAAGGCGGCAUCCUGGACCGACACUGACACUGAGGAGCGAAAGCCAGGGGAGCAAACGGG
rnacentral:rRNA from 1 species